rnacentral:rRNA from 1 species
GAGAAGUAAUUCACCUUUUGUUCUAGCGGCGGACGGGUGAGUAACGCGUGAGCAACCUGUCCUUGUCUGGGGGAUAAGGAGCCGAAAGGCUCUCUAAUACCGCAUGAGACCACGGGAUCACAUGGUUCUGAGGUCAAAGGAUUUCGGUCCGGACAGGGGUGGGCUCGCGUCUGAUUAGCUAGUUGGUGGGGUAAGGGCUCACCAAGGCCACGAUCAGUAGCGGACUGAAGGUGAUCGGUCAAUGAACUGAGACCCGUUCAAACUCCUACGGAGCAGCAGUGGAAUAUGUAUGGCGAAGCCUGACCCAGCACGCCGCGUGAAGAGAGCUUUCGGUCGUAAACUUUUAUCCCAGAUGAAGAUAAUGACGGUAAUCUGAAGGAAGCCCCGGCUAACUACGUGCCAGCAGCCGCGGUAAUACGUAGGGGGCAAGCGUGUCCGGAAUGAUUGGGCGUAAAGGGCGCGUAGGCGGCCUUUUAAGUCCGAUGUGAAAGUCCUGCUUUUAAGGUGGGAAUUGCAUUGGAAACUGGAAGGCUCGAGUGCAGGAGAGGUAAGUGGAAUUCCCGGUGUAGCGGUGAAAUGCGUAGAGAUCGGGAGGAACACCAGUGGCGAAGGCGACUUACUGGACUGUAACUGACGCUGAGGCGCGAAAGUGUGGGGAGCAAACAGGAUUAGAUACCCUGGUAGUCCACACGGUAAACGAUGAGUGCUAGGUGUAGGAGGUAUCGACCCCUUCUGUGCCGGAGUCAACACAAUAAGCACUCCGCCUGGGGAGUACGGCCGCAAGGUUGAAACUCAAAGGAAUUGACGGGGGCCCGCACAAGCAGCGGAGCAUGUUGUUUAAUUCGAAGCAACGCGAAGAACCUUACCAGGUCUUGACAUCCAGUAAAAACUGUAGAGAUACAGUGUGACUUCGGUCAUACUGAGACAGGUGGUGCAUGGUUGUCGUCAGCUCGUGUCGUGAGAUGUUGGGUUAAGUCCCGCAACGAGCGCAACCCUUGUGAUAGUUACUUACGCGUAUGGCGAGGACUCUAUUAGACUGCCGGGGACAACUCGGAGGAAGGUGGGGACGACGUCAAUCAUCAUGCCCUUUAUGACCUGGCUACAACGUGCUUCAAUGCACUACUGGGAGCUGCGAACUCGUAAGGGUUAGCGAAUCUCUUAAAAGUGGUCCCAGUUCGGAUUGUGGGCUGCAACCCGCCCACAUGAAGUCGGAGUUGCUAGUAAUCGCGAAUCAGCAUGUCGCGGUGAAUACGUUCCCGGGCCUUGUACACACCGCCCGUCACACCAUGGGAGUUGAUAGCGCCCGAAGUCGGUGAGGCAACCGUAAGGAGUCAGCCGCCGAAGGUGAGAUCAAUGACUGGGGGAAGUCGUAACAAGGUAACC